CCUACGGGAGGCAGCAGUAAGGAAUAUUGGUCAAUGGGCGCAAGCCUGAACCAGCCAUGCCGCGUGCAGGAAGACGGCCCUAUGGGUUGUAAACUGCUUUUGAACAAGAGAAAACCUCGGUACGUGUACCGAGCUGAUAGUAUUGUUAGAAUAAGCAUCGGCUAACUUCGUGCCAGCAGCCGCGGUAAGACGAAGGAUGCAAGCGUUAUCCGGAUUCAUUGGGUUUAAAGGGUGCGUAGGCGGCCUGAUAAGUCAGUGGUGAAAUCUCUCAGCUUAACUGAGAAACUGCCAUUGAUACUGUCGGGCUUGAGUACAGAUGAUGUGGGCGGAAUAUGACAUGUAGUGGUGAAAUACUUAGAUAUGUCAUAGAACACCGAUUGCGAAGGCAGCUCACAAAACUGUAACUGACGCUGAGCGACGAAGUAGCGGGAGUACAACAGGUAGUAGUACUACCGUACGUACGUACGACGACCGUAACGUACGUAGUAUUACUUCGUUGUU
rnacentral:rRNA from 1 species